GGCUAGCGAAGGCCGCCUCGGAUAGUCACGUGGCUACCGCUUCCGACGACGCAGCAGCGGAUCUCGCGAGUAUUCUCUACACCCUCCUCCCCUUCCCAGUUUCACCACGUUCUUACCCCCCCCCACGACUCCCCCCGAAAGUGUUGCCGGGAAGAAGGUCUCAAACAACUCGUGGUUCCAUGAGGAGGUCGGCAGGCGCGCAGGCGCGCCCCGGCCCCAUGCUCUCAGAUCAGCUGUUCUAGAUCUAUUCCACUUUAAAAGCCUGAAGAGCCAGCCCAUCCUUUCCCAUGCUUCCCAAGCCCUACUGGCGGGAACUCGUGCCCUGAUGGGAAUGCACCUGUGGGUGAUAACGCUAGGCUAUUCUUGCAUACUCUGCAGUUUAUUUGGGGAGAGGGAGGAAGAAGACCCCCCCCCCCUCUUGCCUAGGCAGAAGGGACUGGUGUUAGGUCAAAUUCUUCUACGACCAGCUGGCUAGAAUGAAUGGAAGCUCCCCAAAGGCAGGGACUGUUCCAGUCUUAAAUAGUCAGGUUCAAGAGGCAAGGGACAUUGCCAAUUUUGGGCUGGCAGUUGGAAGACCCGCAUUUGAAUUCUGACUUUGCUAAUUCUUACAUAGGGCAAAUCCUGCUUUUAUAUUUUCACUUAUUCCAAAAAUGAACUAGAAGAACUAGAAUCUUAAUUAAGAGACCUAGUCCAACUAGUGCCUUAAAAACCUUCCCUACAACAAGGACUAUAAAUGAGAUUUACAGUAAUUUGCUAUAAUUGGUUUCCUUUUUCAUCCUAUGUAUUUUAUGUUAAAAACUUUCUGAAACAGAAUCCUUUGGCUUCUCUUGCAAGACAUUAUAUAAAUUCUAGUUUGCUCUUAAAUGGGACCUGGAAGGCAGACAUUAAUGGAAAUGACAUCAGCUUGGAAGGUCUUUGGUGGAAUACCCCAGUGAUCUAUCUGUUGUUGGACCUAAGAUGUGUAUCUUGGAUGAAGGCACAAGGAAUGCUUAUCAGAUGUGAAAAUGAAAACAAAGCUGGGAGAGCAGCACCCAGGGAAGAGGGAGCUACUACAGCAGAGGAAGAGUUGGAUCAGGCAAGGGCAUUAGUCACAUUUUUGAACAGAGUUCAUCACUGCAAAUGCCUUCAGUGUUAACCAACUAGGAAAAGGAUUUUCCCCAUAUUUGCUCAAAUUUAUCGUCUGCCUUUUAACAAGUCAAGUUCAAUUAUGUUUCUAAUUUCACUGAGCUUUACUAUACCUUCUAAAAGCUUCCCUUCCAAUGAAAAUUAAGGCACUGGAUCUUAAACUAGCCCAUGGUGGUCUUUCACACAAGACUUAUAACUUGAUGAAUUACUUUUCCUGAAUGUUAAUACUAGUAAGAAUAGGAAUGGUGUGAAUUUUAAAACUACUCCACCCUACUCAGACCCUACUUUAGAAGAUUUGAUUUAGCUAUUUCCUGAUUGUAACAAUGGAGAUACUUGGUCUAACAGAAUCAGGAAUGUCUUGGGAACUCUACAUUGCUCCACCCUACUUAGUCUAACAAGGUCAGGAAUGUCUGCACCCAUACUUAAGGAUUAAGUAUCUAGGGGGAUGGCCUUUGAUAGACAUGUGCAGAAACAGCUGACAGACCCCUGGGCUCAAGCUAAGCUACCACUGGUACAGAUAAGAUGCAGGAAAGUGAUGUAAAACCGUCUAUAUGGGGCGUGUCACUUUCUCUCUUCAAUCUCUUUCCCCAGAGAGGUGGAUCUGGCUGAUCACUUCCUGUGAGCAGCCUGGGUGCCAGAUCUAUCCUGGAACUAGAGCCUACAGGAGCUCCCUCAGACAGCUUCCUUGAGACAGUCACCUGGUGAAUGAUAAGACUGAUUUCCCUUUCCCUUGGACUCAGGGGAGGCCCCUUUGGCCAAGGCCUUUAACUCUUGCCUGGCUCAGCCUGAGCUAGAGCAGUUAAAUUAACUCUUUCUUCUCCCUCUCCUCCUUAAUUCCUUCUCUCUAUAUUAUCCUUCUCUCUAUAUUAAUUAAAAUUAAUUAAAAUCAUCAAAAUUUCCAGCUGACUUGGGUAUUUUAUUAUUUGGGAUUUUCCCUGGCGACCAAUUAAAUAUAGUUUAGGUCACAACACUAAAAUUAUCCUUACAAUGGCUAACACUUGAAGUUGACAAAGUGCUUUAUAUAUAUUAUCUCAUUUGAUCCUCAUAACAACCAAAUGAGUUAGGUGUUGUUAUCCUUAUUUUAUAGAUGAAUAAACUGAGGCUUUUGGUGACUUGCCUAGGAUCAUACCACUAAGAAGUAUAUCUAAGGUCAGUCAGGCACAACAUAAAGGAAAUGUAGAAAUAGAAUGUGCUAGGCAGGACAAACCACCUCAACUACCACCUUACCUUCUACCCUGAUGGAGAUAGGUCAGGACCCUGAGUCUAAGAAUCCUAAUAAUAGGAAUGAACCCCAGUUUCCUGUUCCUUGCUUCUAGCCUGGCUCCUAGAGCCACAGUCCAAGGAAACAACUCUUGUGGAGAUGUGGCCACCCUGCUGUGAGAAAAAGGAAAAGGAAAGUUCUCAAAGGCCUUGUUGGUAGGCAAAUGGUUCAACAUCAUAAGUAAUAAAGUUGUUUUUAUUAAUGAAAAUGACAUUAGAGAAGAUACAUUUGUAACAUAAGAAUGGUGGUCUGGCUAGAGUUAUAAGCAUUUAUUAAUAAAAUGAGCAAAAGAAGAGAGUGUCUGCUUUGCACAUUCACCCUCAAGACUAUGGAGCCUGUCUAUCAAACUUAUACAUGAAACUUCCCAUAUGUGCUGCCUUUCCUGAUUAGGAUGUGGGUUCCCUGAGAAUACAAGCUGUCUUACCUUUUAUUUAGAUCUUCAGGGCUUUGCACAGAAGUAAACACAAUGUUCUUCCUUCAAUUGAUCCAUCCUUCCCUUUCAUCCACCCUCCCUUCCAUUCAUCUAUCCUCCUUUCCUUCCAUCCACCCUCCUUUCCUUCCCUUAUUCCAAAACAGCAUUUCAUAUACUAGUCCAAACUGUCUCUCUUAACUAGUGUUCUAAGAUUAUACAUAUUAUAUAGGCAAUGAGUUAUGUUUCUGUUAUGAAGUUAUGAAGAAGUUUCACUUCUUAAGUCAUCCCCUGAGAAUGCCAGCUAUUCCAUUCAUUCAUUUAAUAAACAUAUUAAAUGCCUACUCUGUGCCAGGACUGUGCUAAGUGCUAGGAUACAAAAAGAGGCAAAAGACAGUUCCUUCUCUCAAGGAGGGUAUGCUAAUUCUGAUCAUAUUCAACUACUGUUAUCUUGAGGUUUAAGAGUAUUUUACUGAUAUUAACCAACCCUUUCCUUGUGCCCCACAAAGCUGGGACACUCUCUUCUUUGGGGGAAAAAAAAAUCAAGCUGCUACAUUCAACAUUUUCCAUCAAAUUACCUCUGCAAAUAAUCCUUAGCUUAUAUUUUACUAAAUCAUCUCUUUCACAAUGCUAAAAUAAAAGUAUCAUGCAGGUAUUUGUAGAGAAAAUGCUGUACAAUUUCAUUGUAAAUCAGUUUCAGAGAAAGGCUAUGAACAGAAGUAAAAUUCAUGUUCUCCAAAGAACUGUAUUUGUGCUCCAAACCCAAGAUUUCAAAUGCUUAUUUCAACAAACUGUCACUAAACAAAUCUAUUAAAUCAAUUUGUUCCAAUACAGCAAAAACAAAAAUGAUUCAUCUGUCUGACUUCAUAUCCAUUCAUAUUUUAGGUCUUUAAGAUAAAAGGAGAAUUGCUUCCUGUAACCUAGUCUCAAGUGCUUAAUAAUAAGCUCUUUACUUCUGUAAGGCAUGUAUUGGGAAAUAUUCAUUUGAAGACCUUGAAUUAAGAGCACUCAAAUUUCCAAAAUUAUCCAAUAAAAGUAAAAGUUUCAGGAAGAAAUUUAUUAUAAAUGAAUUUACUUCACCUUUAUUAUCAAUGAAAGGCAACAUGGAAUGAGAGAGUUGUUCUGUGAGCCAAAAAACCCAGGGCAGGUCCUAUCUCCAACACACACUAGCCAUGUAAUGACUGUAGAGUAAGCCUCUUCACUUCUUAAUGUUCUGGGUAAUUAAUGACCACAUUAUAGAGAAGAUGCUGAUCUUAAUUGGUAGAAAGAGUUCCUUCAUUCCCAGAAGUUCCUCAAACCAUAGAAAUCAGUCCUUAACCCUUGUUAUCCAUUUUGUUUUUGAGCUUAAACAUCUUUAUGGAAGUAGUUUGGCAAGAGAAAUCCAGCAUCUUUUAUAAUAACAUGGAUGUACUUUAUUGUUGUUCAGUUGAGUCCAACUAUUUCUAACCCCAUGACAAUAGCACAACAGUACUACUGUCCAUUGGGUUUUCUUGGCAAAGAUACUAGAGUGGUUUUCCAUUUCCUUCUUCAGACGAUGAAGACAAACAGAUGUUAAGUGACUUACCCAGGGUCAUAACAGCUAGGAAGUGUCUGAGGCCAUAUUUCAACUUGGGUUUUCCCGACUCCAGGCCUAGCACUCUAUAUCCACUGCACUACCUACGUGCCUCUUUUUGGUCAGCUCCUACAGCAAAACACUUUUGCUAAGAACCUUCCUUUUGAUGGACUAUUGUGACUAAAUAUGAUGACUCUUGUAAGAGGGAUCACAUUUUUAACUAGUGUUUGAAGACAAGUAUUUCAUUCAGAAAUCAAUUUAUCUCUUAAAUUCAGAGUGCAAUAUAUUUCUCCAACAACAUAUCAUUUUUCAUUAGCUUGUCAGUUUUGUGACUAACUGUAUUCAUCUUCAUCUACUUGUAAUACAAAAAAUCAGAUAUUUUGUUUUUUCUCUGGUUGCACCAAUGCUAUUCCUAUCAAAUGAGUUUUCAAAAAAUACUUAACAAUUCUGUUUUUGCUUUGUUUUUCAGUUCUAUCUGACUCUCCAUGACCCCAUUUAGGGUUUUCUAGUAAAGAUACUGAAGUAGUUUCCCAUUUCCUUAUCCCACUCAUUUUACACAUGAGGAAACUGAGGAAAAAAGGAGAAGUAACUUAACCAGGGUCACUUAGAUUUGAGCUCACAUCUUCUUGAUUCUAGCUGUCCACUAGGGCACUUUAACCUAAAAAAACUUCAUAUGUAACUAAUGUGUUUUGUGUAUUGUAUUUUGACUUUUCAAAGGAGGGAAGAAAGGAUGGAGGGAGGGAGAAAAUUUGGAACUCAGAAUAAAAAGACAAAAAACAUAGUGCUUGAAUAGUUUCCCAAGAGCUCAUUGCAGAAUUUUUCAUUGUGAGAUUUUAUACUCCUGUGACAUAGCAAAUGCUUGAUAUUAUUGUUUAAUUGAAUGUCUAUGCUAGACUUCAGAAAGUUAUUAGGAAAAUGCUAACAACGCAAAUUAAAAUUAAAAGUGGAAGGGGAUGUAUUUUUUGUAAAACAAGUUCUGGACUCAGAAUUUGCUACUCAACCUACUCUUUAUACAUUUUUGUACCCAGAUAAGGAAACAACUUGCCCAGGUGACAAAAGCAGUCUUUUUGUCAAAUAAAUGAACUUUUCUUUCACUUAAUCUUUGGAGCUCCUCAUUUCCAGAUCUCAACUUGUUUUGUUGGGCUUGUUUUUAGCUCAGGAAUUGAUCACAGAAUGAAAAAGACCAUAUUGUUUAUGUCUGUUGCUUAGAUGAUCAGCCUGAUGGGGUAGCCUGGCCCUCUCAACAAGGACCCCCAGUUUCUUUCACUCAGGAAGAAAUAAUGCCACAAUAUGAUGAAAGAACGAUCUAGAUUAUAUGCAGUUUUAUACUUUGAACAAAUAUCUUCUUUCUGGAGUGAUAAAAGUAUUAUGUUAUUUUGUUUCAGGGUUUUGUUUUUUUUCCAGUCACGUACAACUCUCCAUGACCCCAUUUAGAGUUUUCUUAGCAAAGAUACUCAAGUGGUUUGCAUUUCUUUCACUAGCUCAUUUUACAGAUGAGGAAACUGAGGCAAAUAGGAUUAGGUGACUUGCAUAGGGUCACCCAAUUAGGUGAUAUCUGAAGCUACAUUUGAACUUAGAAAGAUCCUUCCUGGCUCCAGGCCUGGCAUUCAGUACACUGUAGUACUACCUAGCUGCCCCUUAUAAUUCAAGGCAAUAGAUAGAAAGCCCUGGAUUUGAAAUCAGCUUUGGGUUCAAAUCCAGCCCCAGACAUUUUCUAGCGGUGUGACCAGUCACUCAAUAUCUCUCAGGCUCAUGUUCCAAAUCUGUAAAAUGUUGCUCAAUUAAUAAACAUUUACAUUUCAACUACAUGCUAGAUAUAGAGACUCUGAGACCACAAAAACAAAAAUUAAAGUCUCUUUACAUUCUUUUGGGAAAAGAUGGUGUGGGGAAGGGACACAUGACAUGUAAAUAAUUAUUUACAAAAUAAAUGCAAAGUACUUUGGGAGAUAAUAUCUGUAACAUAAACCUCAAAGUAGGUACAGUCAAGCUCAAAUAAUAAAAUGGAUGCAAAGCAGUUGUCAGUUAUAAUAACAAUGUCUCUUAUUAUUAACAUUAUUAUUCUGGACUCCUCAAAAUUAUUCUGGACUCCUCAAACAUUACAAAUCUGAUCUUUAGAUCUGGGACAAGAAGCAUUAGAGGAAGGGCAGCUGAGUGGCUCAGUGGAUUGAGAACCAGGCCUAGAGACAGAAGGUCCCUGGGUUCAAAUUUAGAUUCAGAAACUUCCUAGCUGUGUGACCUUGGACAAGUCACUUAACCCCAAAUUGCCUAGUUCUGACCACUCUCCUACCUUGAAACCAAUAUUAGUAAUUGAUUCUAAGACAGAUGGUGAGGGGUUUUUUGGUUUUGUUUUUAAAUAAGAAGCAGUAGCAUUAAUGGUCAUUGGUUGAAAUCUGAACUGGUAUUAAUUAAUUUAAUUAAUUUAAUUUAAUUUAAUUUAAUUAACUGGAAUAAUUAAUUUAAAGCUCAAUUUACUGAACUGUAAAUUAGGGAUAAUGAUAUCAACUUAAUUCCCAGGGUUGUGAAGAUCAGAUGUGAUGAUUAGCUUUUUUAAAACCCUUACCUUCAGUCUUAGAAAAUAGAUACAAAGUAUUAGUGCCAAGACAGAAGAAUGGUAAGGGCUAGGCAGUUCAGAUUAAGGGAUUUACCCAGGGUCACACAGUUUAGAAUCAUCUGAAUCCAUAUUUGAAUCCAGCACUUCUCUUGGCCUGACUGUCUAUCCACUAAGAUACCUAGCUGCUCCAAGAAGAUAUUUUCAAAAGGUGUAUUUAACACACUGCCUGAUAUGCAGUAAGCAUCUAAUAAUUUUGUUCCUUUUCCUCCUUCCCUCUAUAAGAAAUGACCAUGGGGGCAGGUAGUUAGCAGCACAGUGGAUAGAAAACCAGGUGAUCCUGGGUUCAAAUAAGGCUUUGGACAUUUUCUAGUGGUAUGACCCUUGGCAAGUCACCUAAUCCCAUUUGCCUAAUAACCCUUGCCCUUCUAUCUUAAAGUUAUUAUUAAAACGUAAAGCAAGGGUUUAAAAAAAUAGAAGAGAGAAGAAACAAGUUAAGAAGAUACAAAUUGGAAUUUUUUCCCCUACUUUGCUAAACAUAAUAUUCAGGUUUAAAAAACUAACAAGUUCAUAGUCUCAUAUAAAAUACUCUUCUGUUCUUAUAUGUAUAUGUAUGUAUGUACGUGUGCAUUUUUUAACCCUUCUCUUCUGUCUUAGUAUCAAUUAAAAAAUAGAGGAGUGACAAGGGCUAGGCAGUUGGGGUUAAGUGAUUUGCCCAGGGUUACAUAGCUAGGAAACAUUUAAAGCCAAAUUUGAACAUAAGUCCUCCCAAUUCCAAGCUUAACUUUCUAUCCACUGUGCAACCUAGCUACACUUUAUAUCUAUAUUAAUAUUUAUAGCUCGAAAGCUAUACUAGAGGCCACAAGGAAAACUGUAGCCCAGAUAGGUUAAGUGACUGGCCCAGGGUCACACAGCAUAAACUAAGUGGCAGGUCUGGCAUUUGAACCCAGUUUCUCUGACUCCCAAUCUAUUAUUCCAUAUUGAAAUGAUAUCUUGCUGAACAUUAAGCUCUAAUAAAAAGGAAAAUUUAAAAUAAUAAUUUAGAACACAGCAGAAACAAAAUUUUUUAAAGGAGGUAUUCCCUAAAUACUUCAGGAUGAUAAAGAAGAAAUUGAAAGCACAUGUUAACCAUGGUCACUUAGAAGUGCCAGCUGAUUUUAGGGUGUUCUAGGUGCUCUAGGGAAGUAAGAGUAGCACCCAAAAGGGACCAGACCAAGAAUCUGAGCUGGAAGGCCAACUCUGUUGCUGCUUCUCAUCACAGUGACCUUGGACAUUCAUUCAUUCAUCAAGCAUUGAAAUGUCAAGUAUGUGCUAGCUCUAGAUUUUGGCAAUGCAGAGAGAAAAAGGCAACAGUCUCUCCCCUUAAGGAGAUUACAUUGUAUUGAGAAAACAACAUUUGCCUAAAUAGUACAAGAUAUAUACAAAGUAAAUACAAAACAAUGAAAUCAAAUAGAAAGAUGGGUCUCAUUGGACUGGAACUGAGCUUUGAAGGAAGCAAUGACUUAGAGAGUGGUAGACUGGCCUAUGCCAAGGCAUAGAGAUAGAAGAUGGAAUGUCAUGUAUGAGAAACAGCAAGGAGGCCCAAUCUAAUUAAAAUUCAAGAGCAGUGAAAGAAAAGUAAGGUAGAGACUGGAAAGAAAA